rfam:Pleurocapsa sp. PCC 7327, complete genome.
AUUCCAAACAUUCUUAAUCCCUAUUAGGGAUUGAAAC